GAAAUAUCGACCAAGUUACUUCUAAAAUAACUGUCGGUCCUCUAUAACACAGUACAGGGGAACUUGAACUGGAUGCAAUCUAGAGAGACCUAUUUGAAGUCUCCUGUUUGGCGUGGACGCGAAAAUGACAUUCGUCCUUUUGGGAACUCAAAAGCAUCUGACUCUGCUAAUCUUGACAGUGUAGCAGAAGUACAACCCCUAUUAUCUCAACUUUGAGCAUUUAUUUGCUUGUUGCUGGAAAUUUUCACAUUGUUGUAUAGAAUGCUGAUUAAAAGGGGAACAUGAUAAAAAUCAUAUAUGAAUCUUCUUA